CUCUCAUGAGGUUUCAACAAUGCAGUGUAUACUUGAAAGUUAGCAGGGGAUCCAGAUAGUGACUGCACGUUCACUGCAAUAAAUAAGAUAUGUGAUGCCUUCAACUGACUUGCACUUCAAUGAGCAGAUCUCUUUGUAUGACUAAAAUAAAAUAGACAGAUUAAAUAAAUAAACAACUAAACAUGCAAAUCAAAACAUAACUUCCAAGGGUAUAUAUAUGUUCUCUAUCAAAAUAAUGAUUUAGCAUAUGUAUCAGAUUCUCAUCCGGGAUGAUCAAUCUUAAUCAUUAAAUAAGAUAAAAUAAAAAUAUUUAUUUAAGCACACACUCACAACAAAAGGGAACUACUAGGGAAGACAAGCUCUUUCCCUACUUCAAUCUGAAGUAAAUUCAACAAGGUUUCAACUGGCUCUUUCCCUAUGGAAGACAAGCAAGAUAAAUAUCCCUGCACAAUGGAUUUGAGAAGCACCUAAUAAUCCUCAUCUAUGCUAGUUCCUGUGAAAAUAAUAAAACUUCAACAUAUUCAUAAGAUGAUUCAUUUACCUCCCCAUUUUUCAGGAUCCAAUUGAAAAGCUUCUAAUGCACGCUUCUGACAUAAAGUCUCAGCCAUGUCAAUGUACUCAUUCCCUCCAUAAUAUCUAGCCCCAGGGUAC
rnacentral:misc_RNA from 1 species